rnacentral:rRNA from 1 species
ACCAGCGGAGGGAUCAUUACCGAGUUUACAACUCCCAAACCCAAUGUGAACGUUACCAAACUGUUGCCUCGGCGGGAUCUCUGCCCCGGGUGCGUCGCAGCCCCGGACCAAGGCGCCCGCCGGAGGACCAACCAAAACUCUUAUUGUAUACCCCCUCGCGGGUUUUUUUUAUAAUCUGAGCCUUCUCGGCGCCUCUCGUAGGCGUUUCGAAAAUGAAUCAAAACUUUCAACAACGGAUCUCUUGGUUCUGGCAUCGAUGAAGAACGCAGCGAAAUGCGAUAAGUAAUGUGAAUUGCAGAAUUCAGUGAAUCAUCGAAUCUUUGAACGCACAUUGCGCCCGCCAGUAUUCUGGCGGGCAUGCCUGUCCGAGCGUCAUUUCAACCCUCGAACCCCUCCGGGGGGUCGGCGUUGGGGAUCGGCCCUGCCUUGGCGGUGGCCGUCUCCGAAAUACAGUGGCGGUCUCGCCGCAGCCUCUCCUGCGCAGUAGUUUGCACACUCGCAUCGGGAGCGCGGCGCGUCCACAGCCGUUAAACACCCAACUUCUGAAAUGUUGACCUCGGAUCAGGUAGGAAUACCCGCUGAACUUAAGCAUAUCAAUAA